rnacentral:rRNA from 1 species
GUCGAGGGGCAUCGGGGCGAGGAGCAAUCCUUGCCGCCGGCGACCGGCGCACGGGUGAGUAACGCGUAUGCGACCUGCCCGUUGCAGGGGGAUAAUCGGGAGAAAUCCCGUCUAAUACCGCGUAACGCCGCGGGGCUGCAUGGCCCUGCGGCCAAAGGAAGCGAUUCCGGCAACGGAUGGGCAUGCGUGACAUUAGCUAGUUGGCGGGGCAACGGCCCACCAAGGCGACGAUGUCUAGGGGUUCUGAGAGGAAGGUCCCCCACACUGGUACUGAGACACGGACCAGACUCCUACGGGAGGCAGCAGUGAGGAAUAUUGGUCAAUGGGCGCGAGCCUGAACCAGCCAAGUCGCGUGAGAGAUGACGGCCCUACGGGUUGUAAACCUCUUUUGUCGGGGAGCAAAUUCCGCCACGCGUGGCGGAGUCGAGAGUACCCGAAGAAAAAGCAUCGGCUAACUCCGUGCCAGCAGCCGCGGUAAUACGGAGGAUGCGAGCGUUAUCCGGAUUUAUUGGGUUUAAAGGGUGCGUAGGCGGACUGUCAAGUCAGCGGUAAAAUACGGGGGCUCAACCUCCGCCCGCCGUUGAAACUGACGGUCUUGAGUGGGCGAGAAGUAUGCGGAAUGCGUGGUGUAGCGGUGAAAUG